UGAUAGCGGUGAAGCGUGAGGUUGCUGCCCGAUGUGGUAGGUGUUCCGUGGAGCGAAUGUCAAGUUAGGAAACUGGCGACAA
rnacentral:ncRNA from 1 species